rnacentral:lncRNA from 10 species
CCGCACCACUGCCAUCAGCUGGGUGAGAGUCCUUCCCGCCCGCCUCGCUGGAGUUCCUUCCAGCCCCUCCCUAAGGGCCCCCUACUCUUCCCCGACCUCCUUCUUCAGGGUUCCCAGCAUCUCCCUGGCCCCUCCCCACUGACAGUGCCUCCUGGGGCAUCGUGUGAAGAUCUGAAGAUGGGCUUGGUGGGAGCUGUCGGAACACAGAGAACAAGGCUGGAAGAACCUGCUUGUACUAUAGACACCUGGGUGCUCCAGCUGCUCCUCUGGCCUAGAACUAUGGUUCCCAUUCUGAAGCUUGGAGAAGAGACAACGCUGAGAGGACAUCUGCCCAGUCAGUGAACAACAAGCAUGGUAUACCUGGUGCCAGGAUGGGAUGUCUCUGGUGCCCCUGGCUCAAGAACAUACCAGAGCAGGUCUAGAGCAGUGGGCCUCAUACCGACUCAUGGAACUCUGGGGCCUGGAGUCCUGUAGUGGGGCUUGGGGUUGUAGCACCCACAUCUCCCUUCAACUAGAGUUCCUCCACACUAAUCUGUUUUACUCAGUGAGCUUAAGCCUAAGGUUUCUUUUUAUUUUUAUAAGCCUAGUCAAGUGCAGUAGUGAGAAGAGAAGAAAGAGUAGAACAAGGAGUUCGAUCUGUAACUGACUGUGAACAAUCAAUUGAGCUAACUCACUACCUUUGGACAUGCCCAGCCUAAGAUUUUUGUUUGAGGAAAGAGUUGUGCUGCUUAAAACAAUGAAACCAUUCCUCUAGACCAGGAGAUGGAAAUUUUUGGGCCAGAUAGUAAUAUUUCAGGCUUUGCAGACCAUACAGUCUCUGUUGUAACUACUCAACUCUGUCACUGUACCAUGAAAGCAACAGACAGCA